rnacentral:sRNA from 1 species
GCUGGGCACGGUGGUGCAUGCCUGUAAUCCCAGCAGCUCAGGAGGCUGAGGCAGGAGGAUCACAAGUUCAAAGCCAGCCUCAGCAACAGUGAGGUGCUAAGCAACUCAGUGAGACCCUGUCUCUA